GGGCCCGUAGUCUAGCGGUAGGACGCCGGCCUGGCUCGCCGGAGAUCCCGGGUUCGAAUCCCGGCGGGUCCA
rnacentral:tRNA from 1 species